UUAAUCAUCCCAUCCCUUAGAAGGAAGAUUCAUUAAAUUGUGAAGGCCCUUAAUAAAGCAUAAAGUGAGAUGCUUUCAAUGCAAAUAAAAAGUAACCCAUCCAAAAAAAGGGACUCUCUCCCCGUUGCUUGUACCGUUGCUCAUUUUCUUACAACCCUUCCUUUCAGCUCUAGAUCACGAAGGAAUCUGCUUAUCGAUCUGGCUAAGAUGAUGCCUAUGAUGCUGCUGGUACUGGUGCCGCUACCUAUGCUGAUGUAAGCUAUGGGGCCAGAGCUUACAUCCGGAUAUUGAUCCGCCUACUCGUAGACUACUAAGAGACGUCUCGUGUAGCUAAUGACUGAACUCUUUGGGUCCGGGUCUCGAUCACCCCUAUUUCAAUCACGAACAGCGUAAACUGGGU
rnacentral:lncRNA from 1 species